GCCGUCGUGGGCCAUGGAUGAUGGUGGCCGCACUCCUAAUUUGAAUAUCCUGGAAAAUUUCAAUGAGGGAGAGGGGGUUCGAAUCCUCCCGACGGCA